UAUGAAAUUUAACGGAUUUGGCGGCAAGAUAGCCCAUUUAGAGGAACCUGCCCUGUAAACGAUGGUCCACGAGAUACCUUGCUUUUAUUAGUCGUCAGUUUGUAUACCGCUGUUGUCAGUCAGUUUCUUUAGAGAGUUGUCAAGAAUGAGAUAUUCAUUAACUUCAAGUAAAGGUGCAGCUUAUGUAUAAGUAAGAGGUGGGUUACAAUUAAUAGGAAUAAUCACGGAUGGUAAAAUGAAAAAUUACUUGAAGGUGGAUUUAAUUGUAAAAAUUAAAAAGUUUUGAUAUGAGCACUAUUUUGUGUACACAC
rnacentral:rRNA from 1 species